UGUCUGUGUGGUGGUUUGAGAAAGUGAAUGUUGGGGCAUUGGAGUACUCAGGGUUUUUUGUUUGCCAUGGAUAAAGGGUGGACACAGUUACCCUUGUUUGUAAUCUUCCUGCUCUUUUUGAGUAAUACUCAUGGAUUUAAAGGUGGGGCUCAUUCAGAUGCCCGCCACCGGUGGGGCCAAGCUUCAGACAGAACGUUCUCACCUCGUGCAGUCCAGUCUUCUGUGUCAGAGGUCCCUGUGACUGGGAUUUUGCCUGAAGAAGUGGGCUCUAGUUUAUUCGCUAACAGACCCCUGAAAAGGUUGAACUUACUCCAAUUUGUUAAAGGUGGUGUUUCCAGCAGGCAUGAAUCAAUGUCCCAUGCCCAGACAGCUCCAAGCAGCUCUGUUUUAGCUUCCUUGCCUCUACCCUUAAAUGAACGGCAUGCAGGCCAUUUGACAUCGCUCCAGGGUUCCUCUGGAUCAGCCGCUACAGAUACUACUAGUGUUUCUACACAAGGAGAAAGUAGCUUCC